GACGUAGGGCGCGAGCGUUGUCCGGAUUUAUUGGGCGUAAAGAGCUCGUAGGCGGCUUGUUGCGUCGGCUGUGAAAACCCAUGGCUCAACCGUGGGCUUGCAGCCGAUACGGGCAGGCUAGAGUUCGGUAGGGGAGAAUGGAAUUCCCGGUGUAGCGGUGAAAUGCGCAGAUAUCGGGAAGAACACCCGUGGCGAAGGCGGUUCUCUGGGCCACUACUGACGCUGAGAAGCGAAAGCAUGGGGAGCGAACAGG
rnacentral:rRNA from 1 species